UGAGGAAUAUUGGUCAAUGGGGGCAACCCUGAACCAGCCAAGUUGCGUGAAGGAUGAAGGUCUUAUGGAUUGUAAACUUCUUUUACACGGGAAUAAAGCGGGGGACGUGUCCCUCUUUGCAUGUACCGUGUGAAUAAGGAUCGGCGAACUCCGUGCCAGCAGCCGCGGUAAUACGGAGGAUCCGAGCGUUAUCCGGAUUUAUUGGGUUUAAAGGGUGCGCAGGCGGGAUGUUAAGUCGGCGGUGAAAUUUUGCAGCUCAACUGUAAAAGUGCCUUCGAUACUGGCCUUCUUGAGUGUGGAUGAAGUAGGCGGAAUUUGUGGUGUAGCGGUGAAAUGCUUAGAUAUCACGAGGAACUCCGAUUGCGCAGGCAGCUUACUAAGCUACAACUGACACUGAAGCACGAAAGCGUGGGGAUCAAACA
rnacentral:rRNA from 1 species